CUCUGAGAGUGUUUAUAGUGCUGUGAGUUUAACACUUCAUCACUGACACACACAACAAUCUUCAUCAACAUGACCUUCAUCAUCAUCUUCAUCUGGACUCUUUCAUACUGCUUUAUACUACAAGGGUGUAAAGCUCAGAUCACAGUCACUCAGACUCCAGUGAAACCUGUCACACCAGGAGAAACUGUUGUGAUGAGCUGUAAGUUUAGUUCUGCUCCAGCCUGCAGCCCAAGCCCCUGUGUGUCCUGGUACUUACAGAAACCUGGAGAAGCUCCUAAACUCCUGAUUUAUUUAACAAGCAGCCGUCAGUCAGGAACUCCAUCUAGAUUCAGUGGCAGUGGAUCUAACAGUGAUUUCACUCUGACCAUCAGUGGAGUCCAGACUGAAGAUGCUGGACAUUAUUACUGUCAGAGUUACCACUACAUCAACAGUAAAAGUGUGUUCACACAGUGAUUGUGAGUUGUACAAAAACCUGUGUCAGUCAGAGUCACAGUGACUGAACUGAUGCUGCAGCUGAUCAAACACUAUCACUCACUACUGACACACAGAGACCAAACACAGAACUACACAUGAGCUCACAACUGAGUUAGGAGUCACAUCAGCUCUAUUAGACUCAGAUCUGUCCUGUGACAGACGGGUUUGACUCAAUUAUGCUCUGAUUUUGUGAUGAAUUGAUAUCAAAUCAAUCCAAAAACACACAAAUAUUUUCUCUGUUACAGUUUGGUAGUUUUUAUGUUUUUAUGUGUACUUACAAUCAUACUGAUAAAUUGC